GUUAAGCGACUAAGCGUACACGGUGGAUGCCCUGGCAGUCAGAGGCGAUGAAGGACGUGCUAAUCUGCGAUAAGCGUCGGUAAGGUGAUAUGAACCGUUAUAACCGGCGAUUUCCGAAUGGGGAAACCCAGUGUGUUUCGACACACUAUCAUUAACUGAAUCCAUAGGUUAAUGAGGCGAACCGGGGGAACUGAAACAUCUAAGUACCCCGAGGAAAAGAAAUCAACCGAGAUUCCCCCAGUAGCGGCGAGCGAACGGGGAGCAGCCCAGAGUCUGAAUCAGUGUGUGUGUUAGUGGAAGUGUCUGGAAAGGCGCGCGAUACAGGGUGACAGCCCCGUACACAAAAAUGCACAUGCUGUGAGCUCGAUGAGUAGGGCGGGACACGUGGUAUCCUGUCUGAAUAUGGGGGGACCAUCCUCCAAGGCUAAAUACUCCUGACUGACCGAUAGUGAACCAGUACCGUGAGGGAAAGGCGAAAAGAACCCCGGCGAGGGGAGUGAAAAAGAACCUGAAACCG
rnacentral:rRNA from 1 species